UGUUGCUUGCUGGACUGUUUCUGCCCAUAGUUUAGGACUUGUAUCAGAAACUACUACUUAAAAAACUGGUAGCACCAUGGACUUGUCAGAUGUGUGUGAUUUUAAUACACUUACACUGCUAAUUGUACUGUAAAAGUUAGAACUCUUACAUAUCUCACAGAGGAGCCGUGCUUUGAAUGUGCAUUUCCUCUGUAGUUCUGGAGCUGCAGUUACAUUUUGGCAAGAGAGCUGGAUUCUAAAGGGUCAUGCAAACCCUGGAAUGUACAAUUAUUUAUUCAUGCUGUCACCUUCUUCUUGGCCUAGAGAGUGGUAUUAAAACUUCAAGGAAUUUCACAGUACUUGAAGGAAAUUCCUCUAACAGCUUACACUAACUUCAAAUUCUUCAUCAGGAACCUGGUUCUCUGAACUGAGUUAGAGCACAAGGGAAAAAAAAAAGGAUUUUUGUAUUUUGCUCUUCUUAAGCCAACUAUCCAGUUCAUGCCUUGCAUUCAAGUGACAGCUAUUUUAUUUCAUCUAAUCUGAAUUACAUAUGUUAUCUGCGCAACAACUCAAACCUGCCAUAGCUGUAGCUGUGUGGUUUCUUUUUUGUUGUUUGUCUAGUAACUGUCAUUGGUGGCAUUUCUUUGAUUGUAUAGCCUGCAGAACCUUUGCAAAUAACAACAGAUUGUAUGACAACUUGGUAACAAGUUAAAGAAUUGGCAUCAAAAUAUAAAAUUAUCUAAUGGGCCUGAAAGAUGAAUUAUUACUUUUAUUAGCUCAGCCAAAGUUGCUUUCGCCUUCUAAGAUAAUACAAUUAUUUUAGUUUUAAUUAAUUAGACAGAAGAACUCUUUCAAAAUUCCACAAACACACAACAUUAAAUACUUCUAUAUUUCCAUUAUUAAUAUUCAAAAUGGU